rnacentral:rRNA from 4 species
UUAAGCGACUAAGCGUACACGGUGGAUGCCCUGGCAGUCAGAGGCGAUGAAGGGCGUGCUAAUCUGCGAUAAGCGCCGGUAAGGUGAUAUGAACCGUUAUAACCGGCGAUACCCGAAUGGGGAAACCCAGUGUGAUUCGUCACACUAUCAUUAACUGAAUCCAUAGGUUAAUGAGGCGAACCGGGGGAACUGAAACAUCUAAGUACCCCGAGGAAAAGAAAUCAACCGAGAUUCCCCCAGUAGCGGCGAGCGAACGGGGAGGAGCCCAGAGCCUGAAUCAGCAUGUGUGUUAGUGGAAGCGUCUGGAAAGGCGCGCGAUACAGGGUGACAGCCCCGUACACAAAAGCGCAUGUGCUGUGAGCUCGAUGAGUAGGGCGGGACACGUGGUAUCCUGUCUGAAUAUGGGGGGACCAUCCUCCAAGGCUAAAUACUCCUGACUGACCGAUAGUGAACCAGUACCGUGAGGGAAAGGCGAAAAGAACCCCGGCGAGGGGAGUGAAAAAGAACCUGAAACCGUGUACGUACAAGCAGUGGGAGCACCCUUCGGGGUGUGACUGCGUACCUUUUGUAUAAUGGGUCAGCGACUUAUAUUCUGUAGCAAGGUUAACCGUAUAGGGGAGCCGGAGGGAAACCGAGUCUUAAUUGGGCGUUAAGUUGCAGGGUAUAGACCCGAAACCCGGUGAUCUAGCCAUGGGCAGGUUGAAGGUUGGGUAACACUAACUGGAGGACCGAACCGACUAAUGUUGAAAAAUUAGCGGAUGACCUGUGGCUGGGGGUGAAAGGCCAAUCAAACCGGGAGAUAGCUGGUUCUCCCCGAAAGCUAUUUAGGUAGCGCCUCGUGAAUUCAUCUCCGGGGGUAGAGCACUGUUUCGGCUAGGGGGCCAUCCCGGCUUACCAACCCGAUGCAAACUGCGAAUACCGGAGAAUGUUAUCACGGGAGACACACGGCGGGUGCUAACGUCCGUCGUGAAGAGGGAAACAACCCAGACCGCCAGCUAAGGUCCCAAAGUCAUGGUUAAGUGGGAAACGAUGUGGGAAGGCCCAGACAGCCAGGAUGUUGGCUUAGAAGCAGCCAUCAUUUAAAGAAAGCGUAAUAGCUCACUGGUCGAGUCGGCCUGCGCGGAAGAUGUAACGGGGCUAAACCAUGCACCGAAGCUGCGGCAGCGAACGUAUCACCCAAGACAACUUUACGGAGUUGACGAUUGACGGAGCGAAGCGACGUCAAAGCGUUCAUUAAAGUCGAGUUGGCUUAGGGAUACGUUCGUUGGGUAGGGGAGCGUUCUGUAAGCCUGUGAAGGUGUGUCGUGAGGCAUGCUGGAGGUAUCAGAAGUGCGAAUGCUGACAUAAGUAACGAUAAAGCGGGUGAAAAGCCCGCUCGCCGGAAGACCAAGGGUUCCUGUCCAACGUUAAUCGGGGCAGGGUGAGUCGACCCCUAAGGCGAGGCCGAAAGGCGUAGUCGAUGGGAAACGGGUUAAUAUUCCCGUACUUGGUGUUACUGCGAAGGGGGGACGGAGAAGGCUAUGUUGGCCGGGCGACGGUUGUCCCGGUUUAAGCGUGUAGGUGUGUGUUCCAGGUAAAUCCGGUUCACUUUAACACUGAGGCGUGACGACGAGGCACUACGGUGCUGAAGCAACAAAUGCCCUGCUUCCAGGAAAAGCCUCUAAGCAUCAGGUAACACGAAAUCGUACCCCAAACCGACACAGGUGGUCAGGUAGAGAAUACCAAGGCGCUUGAGAGAACUCGGGUGAAGGAACUAGGCAAAAUGGUGCCGUAACUUCGGGAGAAGGCACGCUGACACGUAGGUGAAGUGAUUUACUCAUGGAGCUGAAGUCAGUCGAAGAUACCAGCUGGCUGCAACUGUUUAUUAAAAACACAGCACUGUGCAAACACGAAAGUGGACGUAUACGGUGUGACGCCUGCCCGGUGCCGGAAGGUUAAUUGAUGGGGUCAGCGUAAGCGAAGCUCCUGAUCGAAGCCCCGGUAAACGGCGGCCGUAACUAUAACGGUCCUAAGGUAGCGAAAUUCCUUGUCGGGUAAGUUCCGACCUGCACGAAUGGCGUAAUGAUGGCCAGGCUGUCUCCACCCGAGACUCAGUGAAAUUGAACUCGCUGUGAAGAUGCAGUGUACCCGCGGCAAGACGGAAAGACCCCGUGAACCUUUACUAUAGCUUGACACUGAACAUUGAGCCUUGAUGUGUAGGAUAGGUGGGAGGCUUUGAAGUGUGGACGCCAGUCUGCAUGGAGCCGACCUUGAAAUACCACCCUUUAAUGUUUGAUGUUCUAACGUGGACCCGUAAUCCGGGUUGCGGACAGUGUCUGGUGGGUAGUUUGACUGGGGCGGUCUCCUCCUAAAGAGUAACGGAGGAGCACGAAGGUUGGCUAAUCCUGGUCGGACAUCAGGAGGUUAGUGCAAUGGCAUAAGCCAGCUUGACUGCGAGCGUGACGGCGCGAGCAGGUGCGAAAGCAGGUCAUAGUGAUCCGGUGGUUCUGAAUGGAAGGGCCAUCGCUCAACGGAUAAAAGGUACUCCGGGGAUAACAGGCUGAUACCGCCCAAGAGUUCAUAUCGACGGCGGUGUUUGGCACCUCGAUGUCGGCUCAUCACAUCCUGGGGCUGAAGUAGGUCCCAAGGGUAUGGCUGUUCGCCAUUUAAAGUGGUACGCGAGCUGGGUUUAGAACGUCGUGAGACAGUUCGGUCCCUAUCUGCCGUGGGCGCUGGAGAACUGAGGGGGGCUGCUCCUAGUACGAGAGGACCGGAGUGGACGCAUCACUGGUGUUCGGGUUGUCAUGCCAAUGGCACUGCCCGGUAGCUAAAUGCGGAAGAGAUAAGUGCUGAAAGCAUCUAAGCACGAAACUUGCCCCGAGAUGAGUUCUCCCUGAGACUUAGAGUCUCCUGAAGGAACGUUGAAGACGACGACGUUGAUAGGCCGGGUGUGUAAGCGCAGCGAUGCGUUGAGCUAACCGGUACUAAUGAACCGUGAGGCUUAACCUU